rnacentral:rRNA from 1 species
GUGACUGCGUACCUUUUGUAUAAUGGGUCAGCGACUUAUAUUCUGUAGCAAGGUUAACCGAAUAGGGGAGCCGAAGGGAAACCGAGUCUUAACUGGGCGUUAAGUUGCAGGGUAUAGACCCGAAACCCGGUGAUCUAGCCAUGGGCAGGUUGAAGGUUGGGUAACACUAACUGGAGGACCGAACCGACUAAUGUUGAAAAAUUAGCGGAUGACCUGUGGCUGGGGGUGAAAGGCCAAUCAAACCGGGAGAUAGCUGGUUCUCCCCGAAAGCUAUUUAGGUAGCGCCUCGUGAACUCAUCUUCGGGGGUAGAGCACUGUUUCGGCUAGGGGGUCAUCCCGACUUACCAACCCGAUGCAAACUGCGAAUACCGAAGAAUGUUAUCACGGGAGACACACGGCGGGUGCUAACGUCCGUCGUGAAGAGGGAAACAACCCAGACCGCCAGCUAAGGUCCCAAAGUCAUGGUUAAGUGGGAAACGAUGUGGGAAGGCCCAGACAGCCAGGAUGUUGGCUUAGAAGCAGCCAUCAUUUAAAGAAAGCGUAAUAGCUCACUGGUCGAGUCGGCCUGCGCGGAAGAUGUAACGGGGCUAAACCAUGCACCGAAGCUGCGGCAGCGACGCUUAUGCGUUGUUGGGUAGGGGAGCGUUCUGUAAGCCGUUGAAGGUGUGCUGUGAGGCAUGCUGGAGGUAUCAGAAGUGCGAAUGCUGACAUAAGUAACGAUAAAGCGGGUGAAAAGCCCGCUCGCCGGAAGACCAAGGGUUCCUGUCCAACGUUAAUCGGGGCAGGGUGAGUCGACCCCUAAGGCGAGGCCGAAAGGCGUAGUCGAUGGGAAACAGGUUAAUAUUCCUGUACUUGGUGUUACUGCGAAGGGGGGACGGAGAAGGCUAUGUUAGCCGGGCGACGGUUGUCCCGGUUUAAGCAUGUAGGCGGAGGUUCCAGGUAAAUCCGGUACCUUUUAACGCUGAGGUGUGAUGACGAGGCACUACGGUGCUGAAGUAACAAAUGCCCUGCUUCCAGGAAAAGCCUCUAAGCUCCAGGUAACACGAAAUCGUACCCCAAACCGACACAGGUGGUCAGGUAGAGAAUACCAAGGCGCUUGAGAGAACUCGGGUGAAGGAACUAGGCAAAAUGGUGCCGUAACUUCGGGAGAAGGCACGCUGACAUGUAGGUGAAGCCCCUGCGGGUGGAGCUGAAGUCAGUCGAAGAUACCAGCUGGCUGCAACUGUUUAUUAAAAACACAGCACUGUGCAAACACGAAAGUGGACGUAUACGGUGUGACGCCUGCCCGGUGCCGGAAGGUUAAUUGAUGGGGUUAUCCUUAGGGAGAAGCUCUUGAUCGAAGCCCCGGUAAACGGCGGCCGUAACUAUAACGGUCCUAAGGUAGCGAAAUUCCUUGUCGGGUAAGUUCCGACCUGCACGAAUGGCGUAAUGAUGGCCAGGCUGUCUCCACCCGAGACUCAGUGAAAUUGAACUCGCUGUGAAGAUGCAGUGUACCCGCGGCAAGACGGAAAGACCCCGUGAACCUUUACUAUAGCUUGACACUGAACAUUGAGCCUUGAUGUGUAGGAUAGGUGGGAGGCUUUGAAGCGUGGACGCCAGUCUGCGUGGAGCCAACCUUGAAAUACCACCCUUUAAUGUUUGAUGUUCUAACCUGGCGCCGUAAUCCGGCGUGGGGACAGUGUCUGGUGGGUAGUUUGACUGGGGCGGUCUCCUCCUAAAGAGUAACGGAGGAGCACGAAGGUUGGCUAAUCCUGGUCGGACAUCAGGAGGUUAGUGCAAUGGCAUAAGCCAGCUUGACUGCGAGCGUGACGGCGCGAGCAGGUGCGAAAGCAGGUCAUAGUGAUCCGGUGGUUCUGAAUGGAAGGGCCAUCGCUCAACGGAUAAAAGGUACUCCGGGGAUAACAGGCUGAUACCGCCCAAGAGUUCAUAUCGACGGCGGUGUUUGGCACCUCGAUGUCGGCUCAUCACAUCCUGGGGCUGAAGUAGGUCCCAAGGGUAUGGCUGUUCGCCAUUUAAAGUGGUACGCGAGCUGGGUUUAGAACGUCGUGAGACAGUUCGGUCCCUAUCUGCCGUGGGCGCUGGAGAAUUGAGGGGGGCUGCUCCUAGUACGAGAGGACCGGAGUGGACGCAUCACUGGUGUUCGGGUUGUCAUGCCAAUGGCAUUGCCCGGUAGCUACAUGCGGAAGAGAUAAGUGCUGAAAGCAUCUAAGCACGAAACUUGCCCCGAGAUGAGUUCUCCCUGAGAC